UGAGGAAUAUUGGUCAAUGGGCGGGAGCCUGAACCAGCCAAGUCGCGUGAAGGAAGGAGGAUCUAUGGUUCGUAAACUUCUUUUGCAGGGGAAUAAAGUGCAGGACGUGUCCUGUUUUGUAUGUACCCUGAGAAUAAGGAUCGGCUAACUCCGUGCCAGCAGCCGCGGUAAUACGGAGGAUCCGAGCGUUAUCCGGAUUUAUUGGGUUUAAAGGGUGCGUAGGUGGUUUGAUAAGUCAGCGGUGAAAGUCUGCAGCUUAACUGUAAAAAUGCCGUUGAAACUGUCGGACUUGAGUGUAAAUGAGGUAGGCGGAAUGCGUGGUGUAGCGGUGAAAUGCAUAGAUAUCACGCAGAACUCCGAUUGCGAAGGCAGCUUACUAAGCUACAACUGACACUGAAGCACGAAAGCGUGGGGA
rnacentral:rRNA from 1 species